rnacentral:rRNA from 1 species
UUCCGGUUGAUCCUGCCGGAGGCCAUUGCUAUUGGGAUUCGAUUUAGCCAUGCUAGUCGCACGAGUUCAGACUCGUGGCGAAUAGCUCAGUAACACGUGGCCAAACUACCCUUCGGAACACAAUACCCUCGGGAAACUGAGGCUAAUAGUGUAUACCACAGUCCACCUGGAAUGAGGACUGUGCCAAACGCUCCGGCGCCGAAGGAUGUGGCUGCGGCCGAUUAGGUAGACGGUGGGGUAACGGCCCACCGUGCCAAUAAUCGGUACGGGUCAUGAGAGUGAGAACCCGGAGACGGAAUCUGAGACAAGAUUCCGGGCCCUACGGGGCGCAGCAGGCGCGAAACCUUUACACUGCACGACAGUGCGAUAAGGGAAUCCCAAGUGCGUAGGCAUAGAGCCUACGCUUUUGUCUACCGUAGGGAGGUAGACGAAUAAGGGCUGGGCAAGACCGGUGCCAGCCGCCGCGGUAAUACCGGCAGCCCGAGUGAUGGCCGAUCUUAUUGGGCCUAAAGCGUCCGUAGCUGGCCGCGCAAGUCUAUCGGAAAAUCCACCCGCUCAACGGGUGGGCGUCCGGUAGAAACUGCGUGGCUUGGGACCGGAAGGCGCGACGGGUACGUCCGGGGUAGGAGUGAAAUCCUGUAAUCCUGGACGGACCGCCGAUGGCGAAAGCACGUCGCGAAGACGGAUCCGACAGUGAGGGACGAAAGCUAGGGUCUCGAACCGGAUUAGAUACCCGGGUAGUCCUAGCCGUAAACAAUGCCUGUUAGGUGUGGCUCCCACUACGAGUGGGUGCUGUGCCGUAGGGAAGCCGCUAAACAGGCCGCCUGGGAAGUACGUCCGCAAGGAUGAAACUUAAAGGAAUUGGCGGGGGAGCACUACAACCGGAGGAGCCUGCGGUUUAAUUGGAUUCAACGCCGGG